rnacentral:misc_RNA from 1 species
AAGUUAAUCAAAUAAAAAAAUGUUAACCAGGAGCUCAAGAAAAAUAGAAUUAUUGGUAAUUUUCCAAUAUUUUUUCAUUUUGUAGUAACUUGCUUGUAUUUUAGAACAAUUGAUAAAUAUUUAUUCCAGAGUUUUUUUUUAAAAUCAUAUAUGUUGAUUUUUGUUUCUUACUUUCCAAAUUUUCUUUGUAAAGUAUUGAUUUGUUUAGUGCAUGAUGAAUUUCUGAUCAUUCUUUAUAUAAGAAUUGAGUGAUUUUGUGCUUGAGGAGUUCAACCCAUCUGUUAGUUUCUGCUUAUAUUUGCGGGAGGUCUAAAUGCUGUGUAGAUCCUCUAUCAGCUCCUCGGAAUUCUGUCUGUUACUUAAGCAUUUGUGAAUUGCCAGUUAAUUGAAUGUGUUUAUCAGAUGAUUUAGCUGUGGAAAAUGAAGAUGCAUUAGUUUCUUCACUAAAAAAGAGAGGUUUAUACAUAUAUUUUGUCUUACAGACAUUUGUUUGAAUUUUGUUAUUAAGGUAGCUUCUAGGGACCGCCUUAAUUGAGCACCAUUUUAUUAUGUGUGAUAUCCCAAUCUUGGUGACCAAGGGGUAUUUUUAUCUUUGUGAUUUAUUUUGUCUUCCACACAUUUUUCCUGAGUCAUUCUGCAGCGGUGCUAAUAAAUUCAUGUAGCUUUGGCUGGAUGUUAAUAACAGAUUUCUUCAGAAAGAUGUCCUUUGAAUGUGUUUUUUUCAAAAUAAAUAUAAUAAAAUAUAUAAUAUU